UCGGAUGUGGUGCAUGGUGCACAUCAGCUUUUCAUGUUGUCCCAAACAUGGCAUAAAUUGCUGAAGUCCAGGGUUCGACUCCCUGCAUCCGAA